rnacentral:rRNA from 1 species
CCUACGGGUGGCAGCAGUAGGGAAUUUUCGGCAAUGGGGGGAACCCUGACCGAGCAACGCCGCGUGAACGAAGAAGUUAUUCGUAAUGUAAAGUUCUUUUUACAGGGAAGAAAGAGAAAUUUGACGGUACCUGAUGAAUAUGCUCCGGCUACCUACGUGCCAGCAGCCGCGGUAAUACGUGGGGAGCGAGCGUUAUCGGUAAUUAUUGGGCGUAAAGGGUGGGUAGAUGGCAUAGUAAGUCUUUUGUAAAAAUGCUGGGCUAAACCCAGUAGGGCAAAAGAUACUGGAAAGCUAGAGUAUGACAGAGGCAGGUGGAACUAGAGGUGUAGCGGUAAAAUGCGUAAAUAUAAGUAAGAACACCAGUGGCGAAGGCGGCUUGCUGGGUCGAUACUGACAUUGAGGCACGAAAGCGUGGGGAGCAAACAGGAUUAGAUACCCGGGUAGUC